AUUGAACGCUGGCGGCAUGCUUUACACAUGCAAGUCGAACGGUAACAGGCCGCAAGGUGCUGACGAGUGGCGAACGGGUGAGUAAUGCAUCGGAACGUGCCCAAUCGUGGGGGAUAACGCAGCUAAAGCUGCGCUAAUACCGCAUACGAUCUAAGGAUGAAAGCGGGGGACCGUAAGGCCUCGCGCGAUUGGAGCGGCCGAUGUCAGAUUAGGUAGUUGGUAGGGUAAAGGCCUACCAAGCCAACGAUCUGUAGCUGGUCUGAGAGGAUGAUCCGCCACACUGGGACUGAGACACGGCCCAGACUCCUACGGGAGGCAGCAGUGGGGAAUAUUGGACAAUGGGGGGGAACCCUGAUCCAGCCAUGCCGCGUGUGUGAAGAAGGCCUUUUGGUUGUAAAGCACUUUCGGCUGGGAAGAAAUCGCACAGGCUAAUACUCUGUGUGGAUGACGGUACCAGCACAAGAAGCACCGGCUAACU
rnacentral:rRNA from 1 species